rfam:Ovis aries breed Texel chromosome 1, whole genome shotgun sequence.
UCCCUGGUGGCUCAGAUGGUUAAGCAUCUGUCUACAAUGCAGGAGACCCGGGUUUGAUCCCUGGGUCGGGAA